GAUGAACGCUGGCGGCGUGCCUAAUACAUGCAAGUCGAGCGAACAGACGAGGAGCUUGCUCCUCUGACGUUAGCGGCGGACGGGUGAGUAACACGUGGAUAACCUACCUAUAAGACUGGGAUAACUUCGGGAAACCGGAGCUAAUACCGGAUAAUAUAUUGAGCCGCAUGGUUCAAUAGUGAAAGAUGGUUUUGCUGUCACUUAUAGAUGGAUCCGCGCCGCAUUAGCUAGUUGGUAAGGUAACGGCUUACCAAGGCAACGAUGCGUAGCCGACCUGAGAGGGUGAUCGGCCACACUGGAACUGAGACACGGUCCAGACUCCUACGGGAGGCAGCAGUAGGGAAUCUUCCGCAAAGGGCGAAAGCCUGACGGAGCAACGCCGCGUGAGUGAUGAAGGUCUUCGGAUCGUAAAACUCUGUUAUUAGGGAAGAAAAAAUGUGUAAGUAACUAUGCACGUCUUGACGGUACCUAAUCAGAAAGCAACGGCUAACUACGUG
rnacentral:rRNA from 1 species